rnacentral:tRNA from 1 species
GCCUGGGUGGUGGAAUUGGUAGACACUGGGGACUUAAAAUCCCCUGACGGAAACGUCGUGCGGGUUCGAUUCCCGCCCCAGGUACCA